rnacentral:sRNA from 1 species
ACUGGACUUUUGUGCUUUCGGCUGCCGCCCGAACGCGCCGCACGAAGAACUUUUACAUCGGUCGCCUUUGCCUGCUCGCCUUCUGCUGCCUCCGCGUCUCAUUCAGUUUUCAGUUUGCUUUGCUCUGUUCGCCGUUCACCACCGCCUCUCACCCGCGCGGCGUUUCGAUUCUGAUUGCCACUACUGUUGCACACACACACACACACAUUCGCCGGAGAGUGUGCCCGCCACCACCACCGUUGCAAUAUCAAGUAAAUUUUCAUAUACUGGCGUCAUAAGAACGAACCGAACAACCUUUUUAAAGCUUGUGGCCCGCCCCAAAGGAACCUCCGCAUCCGUCUAAAUAUACCUUGAAGUCCGCUCCUGGCGAGCCUCCCCAGUAAAAUCGGCGGAAUCGGGCCAAGAAGAGAAUCACAUGAGGUGAACAAAACAGAUUUGUUGUGCGCAAAUUGCACACUCACA